rnacentral:rRNA from 1 species
AACGAACGCUGGCGGCAUGCCUAACACAUGCAAGUCGAACGAGAUCUUCGGGUCUAGUGGCGCACGGGUGCGUAACGCGUGGGAAUCUGCCCUUUGGUUCGGAAUAACAGUUGGAAACGACUGCUAAUACCGGAUGAUGACGAAAGUCCAAAGAUUUAUCGACAGAGGAUGAGCCCGCGUAGGAUUAGCUAGUUGGUGUGGUAAAGGCGCACCAAGGCGACGAUCCUUAGCUGGGCUGAGAGGAUGAUCAGCCACACUGGGACUGAGACACGGCCCAGACUCCUACGGGAGGCAGCAGUGAGGAAUAUUGGACAAUGAGCGAAAGCCUGAUCGAGCAAUGCCGCGUGAGUGAUGAAGGCCUUAGGGUUGUAAAGCUCUUUUACCCGGGAGGAUAAUGACAGUACCGGGAGAAUAAGCGACGGCUAACUCCGUGCCAGCCGUCGCCGUAA